UUUCACUUCAGCCCCGGUUCUCCACACAAUCUCUGCUUGAUCGUCGUUGCUCCAAACCCGGUUCACUCACCUCCGUCCCCCGUUGUGUCAGCUGGGCUCGCCACCCUGCGCUCUCCCGUCGGACCUCCUCCACGGCGUCCUCCCGGUUCUUCCCCGUACCUAGCCAGCCAGCCUGCCACCACACUCCUCCACCAACCCCCCCGGUCAGUUCUCCCCGGCCUCCUCUCUUCUUCGGUCCCCAGUGCCCCCCGGCUCCCUUGUCUCAGUCUCCUCGGUUCCCGUGUUUCCCCGGCAUCCGCCUCACCUCCACUCCCUCAACCCCCUUUUCCUUAAUAAAAUCAUAAGCGUUGCAUUUGGGUCCACUCUGUCCACACCAUAACAGAACGAUCAAGCCAACAUGGACCCAGCACGCUCACCCCUCCCCUCUCCUCCGACUCCACGGAAUUUGAGUACUGGCGCCUGGACUUCGUGACGCUGAAAGAGCUGUGGAAGGGAGCAAUCAAUGACUGCCUGAAGGAAGCCUUCCGCGCCAGGGCUCAACAGCUGCUGUGGGCUGAACCUUUGUUUGAGGGAUUUUUUGCCCCCCUGGGACGCUUGCUUCCUCCACGCCAUAGCCCCUCCACCUAAGGAGCUCCCCAGCAGCCCCCCGCCUGUUCCCCAAGCUGCUAGCGCCACUAGCCUCCAGCCUGCUCCUUGUGCCUCGUCGGUGGUCCGGCUGACUCCUGCCCCCCCCCCCGUACCCUGUCGGAGGACCGACCGACACCCAUUUCGCUGGUGGACCGGCCGACUCCCACUCCGUGUGCUCUGUUGGUGGAUCUACUGGCUUCAACUCCGCCGGUGGUCCGGCCAACCCCUGGUCCUCAUGCUAAGGCCAUCGUCCAGCCCGCGGCCCAGACCACACCACCUCCUUGUUCCCCGUCCACGGUCCCCAACCCAGCAACCCCUGGUUCCCCCUGCUCCUGCUUCACUGACGGCCUUCUGCAUCCCCCAGAAGCCUCCAAAGGGUCUCCACCUUACCCGUCGGUCCCCAGCCCAACCUCUAAAGAGGCCUCGCCCUCAUCCCGUCACCCCCUAGCCCAACCUCCAGAGAGGUUACGUCUUCUCCGCCGGCCCAGUGGACAGCCUCCUGGGGCCUCUGGUCCUUUCUGUCGACCCUCUGUUUGGCCCCCUGUGGACCUUUGCUCAGGCUCCUGACCUCCCCAGUUUCGCCCUCUGCCCGGCCUCCCACCUGACCUUCCCGGUUUCCCCUCUGCCCUAGCCCUGGGACGUCCGCCCGAGGUUCCCGGUUCCCUCUCUGCCCUGCCCCUGGUCCCGCUGCUCUGCCCUGCCUGCUCGCCUGAAUUUUAUUUAGUUUUAUUUAUAUUUUUUUCCAGCCCUGCUCUCUAAGACCUGUCAUUUCGUUUCCAUUUUGGACCCUGGACCCCCACCAGGAUCCUAGUGCAACUCCCCCCUGACAGACAUCUGUUGAGCCCUUCCCAGCCAACUGGGAGGUCCACCUGGAGGUGGCCGUUGAGGAGGGAGCCCUGUUGUGGCGGCAGCCUGGCUGACUGUUCACUCAGCUCCGUCCCUCGUCGUGGCAGCUGGGUUCACCACCCUGCCCUCUCCUGUCGGACCUCCUCCAUGGCGUCCUCCCGGUUCUUCCCCCGUACCUAGCCAGCCAACCUGCCACCACACUCCUCCACCCCCCAAAUUUAAAGUCUUUUAAAACAACCAUUGCUUUAACGCUAAUAUUUCCAGAUAUUUAGUGGUAUGAGUGAGAAUCUUAACAGACAUGUCGCUCUCUUCUUAGUCUUCAGCUUUUCGCAGCUGUUAUGAAUGAAGUGAUGGUAGAAUGAUAAGUUUCAUUCUUCACACACACACAUCCUCUCUGCAUGACUGGUUGACCAGCAGUGGGUAUUUCACCCUUUUCUUUCUCAUGAAUGCUGACAUCAGUUUGCUGACUCUCAGCAAAAGCAUUUAUUUUCUCUGUACCAUAAAUCAUGUGAUUCCCAAGGCCCUCUCUAACUAGGAAGUGGCGAGUUGCAUCCUCUUAUUAAAUUUGCCACCCAGCCUCGCACUGCAGCAGCAGGGAGAGGAUGUGGUUACCACCCAUCGAAACGAGCACACUUUACCUCCUUUCUGCCAUUGCAUACCAAACAUGGCUGAUUCUGAAUCAGCUGCAGCCUUAGUGGACUGAAAGGGCCUUCGCUCAUUUUCCAGGGGCCUUCUAGGUUUGUGUCAAUCAUUCGUCACGCUCUCCUUUCCAGUAAAUGUGUGAGCUUUGUUUUCCUCAAUCACAGGAAGCUGAAGAGCCAUGACGGUAACUUCAAGGGUCAUAGCUGCUGUAACGCUCAAGUCUCCCCAUGAUGUUUUUUCAAUUUCUCUCCUUUUCUGUCCUUCUAUAUGUCGUGCAGCGAUUCAGAUCGUGUCUCCUUAAUAAAAGUCUUUAUAAUUUAACUGAAA